GUUGAUAGGUUUGAUGUGGAAGCAUAGUGAUAUGUGAAGCUGACCAAUACUAAUUGCUCGGGAGGCUUGACUAUACACCACCCAACCAGUU
rnacentral:rRNA from 1 species